rnacentral:rRNA from 1 species
GAACGCUGGCGGCGUGCUUAACACAUGCAAGUCGAACGGAAAGGCCCUGCUUUUGUGGGGCGCUCGAGUGGCGAACGGGUGAGUAACACGUGAGUAACCUGCCCUUGACUUUGGGAUAACUUCAGGAAACUGGGGCUAAUACCGGAUAGGAGCUCCUGCUGCAUGGUGGGGGUUGGAAAGUUUCGGCGGUUGGGGAUGGACUCGCGGCUUAUCAGCUUGUUGGUGGGGUAGUGGCUUACCAAGGCUUUGACGGGUAGCCGGCCUGAGAGGGUGACCGGCCACAUUGGGACUGAGAUACGGCCCAGACUCCUACGGGAGGCAGCAGUGGGGAAUAUUGCACAAUGGGCGGAAGCCUGAUGCAGCAACGCCGCGUGCGGGAUGACGGCCUUCGGGUUGUAAACCGCUUUCGCCUGUGACGAAGCGUGAGUGACGGUAAUGGGUAAAGAAGCACCGGCUAACUACGUGCCAGCAGCCGCGGUGAUACGUAGGGUGCGAGCGUUGUCCGGAUUUAUUGGGCGUAAAGGGCUCGUAGGUGGUUGAUCGCGUCGGAAGUGUAAUCUUGGGGCUUAACCCUGAGCGUGCUUUCGAUACGGGUUGACUUGAGGAAGGUAGGGGAGAAUGGAAUUCCUGGUGGAGCGGUGGAAUGCGCAGAUAUCAGGAGGAACACCAGUGGCGAAGGCGGUUCUCUGGGCCUUUCCUGACGCUGAGGAGCGAAAGCGUGGGGAGCGAACAGGCUUAGAUACCCUGGUAGUCCACGCUGUAAACGGUGGGUACUAGGUGUGGGGUCCAUUCCACGGGUUCCGUGCCGUAGCUAACGCUUUAAGUACCCCGCCUGGGGAGUACGGCCGCAAGGCUAAAACUCAAAGGAAUUGACGGGGCCCCGCACAAGCGGCGGAGCAUGCGGAUUAAUUCGAUGCAACGCGUAGAACCUUACCUGGGUUUGACAUGGAUCGGGAGCGCUCAGAGAUGGGUGUGCCUCUUUUGGGGUCGGUUCACAGGUGGUGCAUGGCUGUCGUCAGCUCGUGUCGUGAGAUGUUGGGUUAAGUCCCGCAACGAGCGCAACCCUUGUUCACUGUUGCCAGCACGUUAUGGUGGGGACUCAGUGGAGACCGCCGGGGUCAACUCGGAGGAAGGUGGGGAUGACGUCAAGUCAUCAUGCCCCUUAUGUCCAGGGCUUCACGCAUGCUACAAUGGCUGGUACAGAGAGUGGCGAGCCUGUGAGGGUGAGCGAAUCUCGGAAAGCCGGUCUCAGUUCGGAUUGGGGUCUGCAACUCGACCUCAUGAAGUCGGAGUCGCUAGUAAUCGCAGAUCAGCAACGCUGCGGUGAAUACGUUCCCGGGGCUUGUACACACCGCCCGUCAAGUCAUGAAAGUUGGUAACACCCGAAGCCGGUGGCCUAACCGUUGUGGGGGAGCCGUCGAAGGUGGGACUGGUGAUUAGG